rnacentral:tRNA from 1 species
GACUGUAGCUCAGUGGUGGAGCAUCUACUUGACAUGCAGAAUGUUCCAGGUUCAAUCCCUGCCAUCCUCA